UGGGGAAUAUUGGACAAUGGGGGCAACCCUGAUCCAGCAAUGCCGCGUGUGUGAAGAAGGCCUGCGGGUUGUAAAGCACUUUGAUUGGGGAGGAAAGGCGGUUGUUAAAUAGGCAACCGAUAUGACGUUACCCAAAGAACAAGCACCGGCUAACUCUGUGCCAGCAGCCGCGGUAAUACAGAGGGUGCGAGCGUUAAUCGGAAUUACUGGGCGUAAAGGGCGCGUAGGCGGUUAUAUAAGUUGUGUGUGAAAUACCUGGGCUUAACCUGGGAACUGCAUAUGAGACUGUAUGGCUAGAGUAGAGUAGAGGGAAGUGGAAUUUCCGGUGUAGCGGUGAAAUGCGUAGAUAUCGGAAGGAACACCAGUGGCGAAGGCGGCUUCCUGGACUCAUACUGACGCUGAGGCGCGAAAGCGUGGGGAGCAAACAGGAUUAGAUACCCCCGUAGUCC
rnacentral:rRNA from 1 species